AGAGCCCGUGCUUAAAAACUUUUUAUUUUUAAGGGUUUUAAGCAGACAGUUCAGAGAGAACCCACUGCACUAUGGUAUUUAAUCCACAUGCUGACCACGGGUACAUCGAUUUUAAAAAGGAAGAAAACACAAGGGAAGCCUCCAGGUACCAACUACAUCAGCAACUCCUGCCCGGGGCGGGCAGCGCAGGACUUUCCACAUCCUUCCAAUCCGUGACUUUACACUCUGCGUUCAUAUAAUUUGCACCCACAGGAAACACAUUGUGCAAAACAGUGACAACACGGUUUACUAUAUGCCAGCAAUGGUCACGUGCCAGCCGCUGUUCUAAUCACUUUACUUACGUCAUUUCAUUAGCCACCCCCAACCCUGUGAGGCUGGCACAAAUAUUUCAUUUUACAGAAAAGGUGAAACACAAAGACAUUGAAGUAACGGACCCACAGACACAGCACUGAAUUUUUUACA